rnacentral:misc_RNA from 1 species
GUGAAUCAUCGAAUUUUUGAACGCAAAUUGCACUCCCUUCGGAGAGUAUGACUGUUUGAGGGUCAGUAUUAAUAAAAAACGGUGUGUUGCUUCUUUGCGACGCUCCGGAGUUUGGGUCAUCUUAAUAUGCUUGAGGUUGUAAGAGGCUUAAAUUUGACUUUUUUUGCGCAUGUUAGAUGUAGAUAAAGUCUUUUUUUUAUUCGUCUGUCUUAAUGCUCAAAAUGUUAUUAGAUGUGACCAUAUCGGGUGGUUUCGUGCCUAUAAAUUUUUCAUGAUUUGACCUCAAAUCAGGUAGGAGUAA